CUCGUAGGCGGUUUGUCGCGUCGGGAGUGAAAACUCAGGGCUCAACCCUGAGCGUGCUUCCGAUACGGGCAGACUAGAGGUAUGCAGGGGAGAACGGAAUUCCUGGUGUAGCGGUGGAAUGCGCAGAUAUCAGGAGGAACACCGGUGGCGAAGGCGGUUCUCUGGGCAUGACCUGACGCUGAGGAGCGAAAGCAUGGGAGCGAACA
rnacentral:rRNA from 1 species